rnacentral:rRNA from 1 species
UACGUAGGGGGCAAGCGUUGUCCGGAUUUAUUGGGCGUAAGCGCACGCAGGCGGUCUCUUAAGUUUCGAGUGACAGGUGGUGGCUCAACUGCCACAGGCCUUGGAAAACUGGGAGACUUGAGGACUUCAGAGGGAUGCGGAAUUCCAGGUGGAGCGGUGAAAUGCGUUAGAGAUCUGGAAGAACACCAGUGGCGAAGGCGGCUCACUGGUCCAUUACUGACGCUGAGGUGCGAAAGCGUGGGGAGCAAACAGG